AUUGAACGCUGGCGGCAGGCCUAACACAUGCAAGUCGAGCGAGUAGCGGACGGGUGAGUAAUGCUUGGGAAUCUAGCUUAUGGAGGGGGAUAACUACGGGAAACUGUAGCUAAUACCGCGUACCCUAGGAUGAGCCCAAGUGGGAAUGGGUGGUUGGUGAGGUCACGGCUCACCAAGGCGACGAUCUCUAGCUGGUCUGAGAGGAUGAUCAGCCACACUGGGACUGAGACACGGCCCAGACUCCUACGGGAGGCAGCAGUGGGGAAUAUUGCACAAUUGGCGCAAGCCUGAUGCAGCCAUGCCGCGUGUAGGAAGAAGGCCUUAGGGUUGUAAAGUACUUUCAGCGGGGAGGCGUUACCCGCAGAAGAAGCACCGGCUAACUCCGUGCCAGCAGCCGCGGUAAUUC
rnacentral:rRNA from 1 species